UACGGAGGGUGCAAGCGUUAUCCGGAUUUACUGGGUUUAAAGGGUGCGUAGGUGGGUUGGUAAGUCAGUGGUGAAAUACUUUCGCUUAACGAAGGAACUGCCAUUGAUACUACCAGUCUUGAAUACAGUGGAGGUAGGCGGAAUGCGUCAUGUAAGCGGUGAAAUGCUUAGAUAUGACGCAGAACACCAAUUGCGAAGGCAGCUUGCUACACUGUUAUUGACACUGAGGCACGAAAGCGUGGGGAUCAAACAGG
rnacentral:rRNA from 1 species